GACGAACCGUGCAAACGUUAUUCGGAAUCACUGGGCUUAAAGGGCGCGUAGGCGGAUUGCCAAGUCGGUGGUGAAAUCGUUCGGCCCAACCGGACAAGUGCCGCCGAUACUGGCAGUCUCGAGGGAGGUAGGGGUCGAGGGAACUGGUGGUGGAGCGGUGAAAUGCGUAGAUAUCACUAGGAACGCCGGUGGCGAAAGCGCUCGACUGGACCUCUUCUGACGCUGAGGCGCGAAAGCCAGGGGAGCAAACGGG
rnacentral:rRNA from 1 species